GCUUUCUACUGCAAGAACUUUUACCACCAAAGUAAUUUCAUUUUCACAGCAACAAUGUAUGCUCAUCCUGAAUCUUUUAAGAUGGAGCUAAAUCUCUCUAAGGCAUACUUGUGGCUGUCAGGACUACAUGUGUCAACAGCCUUGAGCGAGCUUAUCUGCAUCUUCUCUAGAACUGCUUUCUAGAAAUGAGAGUGGGCUCUGCAUCCCCUAUCAGAUUUGAUGUGUGAGCACACAGCCAGAAGAGAGAAUAAUUCAUCAUCAAUACUGCCGGUAUAAAAAUUCCACAACCCAAAUUGACAUAUAACUGCCUCCCCGAGCGCAAGGCCCACAGAGUGAGUUGAUACAACCAUAGUACAAGUAUACCAAGUCACAUUUACACAACCUGACAUUUUGGUAAGUUACGUUAGUAUACUUGUCAGCUAUCUUAGGUUAUAACUCUAUAACCUAAAGCAUGUGAAGUAUCCUAACCCAAGUAUAACUUGUAUAUGAAAGCAUAUAAAAGUAUA
rnacentral:lncRNA from 12 species